rnacentral:rRNA from 1 species
UACAGAGGCCAAGAGCGUUGCUCGGAUUUACUGGGCGUAAAGGGCGCGUAGGCGGCCGUGCAAGUCAAGUGUGAAAUCCCCGGGCCCAACCCGGGAAGUGCGCUUGAGACUGCUCGGCUCGAGUGCGGAAGGGGGAAUCGGAAUGCAGGGUGUAGCGGUGAAAUGCGUUGAUAUCCUGCAGAACACCGGAGGCGAAGGCGGAUUCCUUGUACGCAACUGACGCUGAGGCGCGAAAGUCGGGGGAGCAAAC